ACAUAUCUUCUUCUUUUUUGUU
rnacentral:sRNA from 1 species